rnacentral:rRNA from 1 species
CCUACGGGGGGCAGCAGUAGGGAAUCUUCCGCAAUGGACGAAAGUCUGACGGAGCAACGCCGCGUGAGUGAAGAAGGUUUUCGGAUCGUAAAACUCUGUUGUAAGGGAAGAACAAGUACGUUAGUAACUGAACGUACCUUGACGGUACCUUAACACAAAGCCACGGCUAACUACGUCCCAGCAGCCGCGGUAAUACGUAGGUGGCAAGCGUUAUCGGGAUUUAUUGGAAUAAAGCGUGCGUAGGCGGUUCGGUAAGUCAGAGGUGAAAUGACCCGGCUCAACCGGGGAGGGUCAUUGGAAACUGGGAGACUUGAGUGCAGAAGAGGAGAGUGGAAUUCGAUGUGUAGCGGUGAAAUGCGCAGAUAUAUGGAGGAACACCAGUGGCGAAGGCGGCUCUCUGGUCUGUAACUGACGCUGAGGUGCGAAAGCGUGGGGAGCAAACAGGAUUAGAUACCCGUGUAGUC